rnacentral:lncRNA from 1 species
GAGUAUCAACCUCCUCAUGAAAAACCACCACCAGAGUAUCAGCCACCUCAUGAGAAGCCACCACCAGAAUACCAACCACCUCAUCAAAAACCGCCACAUGAGAAGCCACCGCCAGAGUACAAACCGCCUCAUGAGAAGCCUCCACCAGAGUACCAACCACCUCAUGAAAAGCCACCAGUGUAUGAACCUCCUCACGAGAAGCCACCACCAGUGUAUGAACCUCCUCACGAGAAGCCACCACCAGUAUAUGAGCCACCUCAUGAGAAGCCACCACCAGUGUACGAACCACCUCAUGAGAAGCCACCACCAGUGUAUGAACCACCUCAUGAGAAGCCACCACCAGUGUAUGAACCACCUCAUGAGAAGCCACCACAUGAGAAACCACCACCAGUGUAUGAACCUCCACAUGAGAAACCACCUCAUGGAAAGCCACCACCAGUAUAUGAACCUCCACAUGAGAAACCACCACAUGGAAAGCCGCCACCAGUAUAUGAACCUCCACAUGAGAAACCACCACCAGUGUAUGAACCUCCACAUGAGAAACCACCUCAUGGAAAGCCACCACCAGUAUAUGAACCUCCACAUGAGAAACCACCACAUGGAAAGCCGCCACCAGUAUAUGAACCCCCUUAU